AUACAUGCAGUCGAGCGGACAGAAGGGAGCUUGCUCCCGGAUGUUAGCGGCGGACGGGUGAGUAACACGUGGGUAACCUGCCUGUAAGACUGGGAUAACUCCGGGAAACCGGAGCUAAUACCGGAUAGUUCCUUGAACCGCAUGGUUCAAGGAUGAAAGACGGUUUCGGCUGUCACUUACAGAUGGACCCGCGGCGCAUUAGCUAGUUGGUGAGGUAACGGCUCACCAAGGCGACGAUGCGUAGCCGACCUGAGAGGGUGAUCGGCCACACUGGGACUGAGACACGGCCCAGACUCCUACGGGAGGCAGCAGUAGGGAAUCUUCCGCAAUGGACGAAAGUCUGACGGAGCAACGCCGCGUGAGUGAUGAAGGUUUUCGGAUCGUAAAGCUCUGUUGUUAGGGAAGAACAAGUGCAAGAGUAACUGCUUGCACCUUGACGGUACCUAACCAGAAAGCCACGGCUAACUACGUGCCAGCAGCCGCGGUAAUACGUAGGUGGCAAGCGUUGUCCGGAAUUAUUGGGCGUAAAGGGCUCGCAGGCGGUUUCUUAAGUCUGAUGUGAAAGCCCCCGGCUCAACCGGGGAGGGUCAUUGGAAA
rnacentral:rRNA from 1 species